UCCACAUCCAAUGUAGAAUAUAUAAAGCAUGACUCCCAAGUCUACUUCCUCCUUCGCGCUGGUCCAUAAUAGUAGAACAUAAUCAAUAGAAAAAUAAGAACCAGUCGAAGCCUUGAUCUCCAACCAGGGUGUUUUUUGAGAAGGACGCAUAAUUAUCUCAACAUUGGAGAAAGAGAAGACCCUCCCUUAUUCUUUAUUUUUCAACUUAAU